AAGUCCCAUGUGUUAAGCAAUGAGGAAAUAGAGAACUAGUUGUUCGAGUUUGUGUAGUUCGAGCAAGGAUCCAUCUUAACCUGUUUUCGAGUCUACUUAGCUCUAACUGUGGCUUCAAAUACCAGCGGUCGUAAAUUCCUACAUAGGAGAGGGGUCCCCCACUCUGAUGCUUAAAAUACCGCUUUAGGAGAGAGAUUCGAAAAGGUCUUUGAUUAGCCAAAAGCUUAGAAGACCACUUUGGGCCCUUAUUGUAAGUUGU
rnacentral:lncRNA from 1 species